GAGUUGUGUAUCAAGGCGUUAGUUCUGCAUCAGGGCGCCGAGGUUAGUAUUGCUCUAAUUUGUUUUACAUAGAGGCUUCUUAUCAAAACAACAUGACUGGUGAUCAUUUGUACGGAAAGGACGUUCACACCGCGAGGCAUCACUGGCUAAAAACGAAGUCUAUAUAUCCUAUCAUAGCCUUAUGUGUUGCCGGCUUCUGUCUGUCAACCCUUACCUGCGGGAAGCUCCUGGUCGGUAACUCAGCUGUUUCGUUGGAUCGCAAGACGAUUGGUAAGUGGAAUCAGUCCGUUCCGAACAUGUGGAAAAUUCACUCCGGGAACGAAGAGGCGCAGAAGGAGGACGUAUUACCUCCCGCCGAUGCAUGAACUGGCUCAUCUGAAAGUCGUGUGCCCUUGGUCACAACAACACAACUAUGUGCAUCCUAAGACCUCGUCACAUGAGUGGCUUGCGUUACCGUAUGACUAGCCUGUAUAUAUAUAGUAUAUAUACAUAUGGUGUAAUAUAGCAUGCCAUUCUAUAUUUAUUA